AGCGAACGCUGGCGGCAGGCUUAACACAUGCAAGUCGAGCGGGCCCUUCGGGGUCAGCGGCGGACGGGUGAGUAACGCGUGGGAACGUGCCUUCUGGUCUGGAAUAACCCUGGGAAACUAGGGCUAAUACCGGAUACGCCCUUUUGGGGAAAGGUUUACUGCCGGAAGAUCGGCCCGCGUCUGAUUAGCUAGUUGGUGGGGUAACGGCCUACCAAGGCGACGAUCAGUAGCUGGUCUGAGAGGAUGAUCAGCCACACUGGGACUGAGACACGGCCCAGACUCCUACGGGAGGUAGCAGUGGGGAAUAUUGGACAAUGGGCGCAAGCCUGAUCCAGCCGUGCCGCGUGAGUGAUGAAGGCCUUAGGGUUGUAAAGCUCUUUUAUCCGGGACGAUAAUGACGGUACCGGAGGAAUAAGCCCCGGCUAACUUCGUG
rnacentral:rRNA from 1 species